rnacentral:lncRNA from 1 species
AUGACAUUUUUAUAUGCCUUGACUUUCUGUCCAGAUGCCCAAAGCAAGUACUUCCUCUCUCAUCUCUCCUUGUACAAUAUAGCAGGUCUGAAUCCAAGGACAACUGUGGCAGUGUUACUAUUUCUUAGGGAGAAAAUAGAUGCUGUUGACCUGCUGCAUGUUCCAAAAGUCAGCUUCUUACCCAGAAAUCAUGCUUGGACUUUUGUGCUCUAGAUGUAAGAAGCUAUUUUACAGAUGAGAAAAUGAAGAUGAACAUGGUUAAGUGACAUGCUGUGAAGGAAAGAUUACAGCAUAAGAUGGUUUUUGCAAGAAGAAGCAAGAGAUGGAAUGUUGAAUGAACUGUCAAUUAACCAGAGAGAGGGAAGGUUUUAAAAAGAAUCUGGACAGGAGGCAGUUAAAAAGCCCAACAGCUGGAACUGGGACACUUCUUCCUGGCUAACGGUUGGGAAGAGGCUGCCAGACAAAUGUGCACUGAACUUCUGAUUACCCAUUGCCUAAAUUACUAAGAAGAUUGGGAGCUUAGCUCUGAAGAACCUUGUUAGUUGUUAUCCAUAUCUCCCAAGAGAAAAUUAACCCUGUUUCCUGAAUUCAACACCUUGGGAGAAUCCUUCAAAGUACAGGAAACCCUUAGAGAUUAGGGAAACCUUAUUCCCCUAUCACCUCCUCCAUUUCCCUUCCUUCCUUUACUUUAAGAAUAAAAUUCCUUUUAGUAAAGACCUAUAUUGUGAG